rnacentral:rRNA from 1 species
AUUGAACGCUGGCGGCAGGCCUAACACAUGCAAGUCGAACGAGUGGCGGACGGGUGAGUAAUGUCUGGGAAACUGCCUGAUGGAGGGUGAUAACUACUGGAAACGGUAGCUAAUACCGCAUACCAUCGGAUGUGCCCAGAUGGGAUUAGCUAGUAGGUGGGGUAAAGGCUCACCUAGGCGACGAUCCCUAGCUGGUCUGAGAGGAUGACCAGCGACACUGGAGCUGAGACACGGUCCAGACUCCGACGGGAGGCAGCAGUGGGGAAUAUUGGACGAUGGGCGAAAGCCUGAUCCAGCCAUGCCGCGUGUGUGAAGAAGGUCUUCGGAUUGUAAAGCACUGUAAGUUGGGAGGCGUUACCAACAGAAUAAGCACCGGAUAACUUCGUGCCAGCAACCGCGGUAAUAC